rnacentral:rRNA from 1 species
AGAGUUGAUCAUGGCUCAGGAUGAACGCUGGCGGCGUGCCUAACACAUGCAAGUCGAGCGAUCUUCUCGGAAGAGAGCGGCGGACGGGUGAGUAACGCGUGGGUAACCUGCCCUGUACACACGGAUAACAUACCGAAAGGUAUGCUAAUACGGGAUAACAUACUUUUAUCGCAUGGUAGAAGUAUCAAAGCUCCGGCGGUACAGGAUGGACCCGCGUCUGAUUAGCUAGUUGGUAAGGUAACGGCUUACCAAGGCGACGAUCAGUAGCCGACCUGAGAGGGUGAUCGGCCACAUUGGAACUGAGACACGGUCCAAACUCCUACGGGAGGCAGCAGUGGGGAAUAUUGCACAAUGGGCGAAAGCCUGAUGCAAGCAACGCCGCGUGAGCGAUGAAGGCCUUCGGGUCGUAAAGCUCUGUCCUCAAGGAAGAUAAUGACGGUACUUGAGGAGGAAGCCCCGGCUAACUACGUGCCAGCAGCCGC